GUGCUGAUGAAGAGUCCCAAACUAGGAUGAAACAGCUGUCCAGUAC
rfam:Trichobilharzia regenti genome assembly, scaffold: TRE_scaffold0036136